GGUUUGGAACAUCACAGACGUGAACAGGACUGAAUUAAGACACUGGAAUAGUGUUUAACAUUGAAAGCAGAUAGAAGAGGGGGAUUUAUACCUUCAUCUCAUAUCUUUACAUUUGGAGAAAAAGAAAACCAGGAUGGGUGUCACACACAUCGUAUCAGUGUUGCUGAUUCUAACAGCUACAAUGACACCAGCCGCAUCUACGACUACUGCUGCAACAACUUCUGCAACUACAACUGCAGGACCUACCACUGGUGCACCUGCCACUACUGCAGCAACAACCGCAGCAACAACUGCUGCACCUACAACUGC